GUGCUCGCUUUGGCAGCCCAUAUAUUAGAACUGGAACAACACAGGGAAGAUUAGCAGGGCCCUCUUGUGUGAGGAGGACAUACAAAUUUUUGAAGUGUUCCAUAUAAUA
ensembl:snRNA U6 U6 spliceosomal RNA